rnacentral:rRNA from 1 species
GAUCCUGGCUCAGGAUGAACGCUAGCUACAGGCUUAACACAUGCAAGUCGAGGGGCAGCAUGGUCUUAGCUUUGCUAAGACUGAUGGCGACCGGCGCACGGGUGAGUAACACGUAUCCAACCUGCCGUCUACUCUUGGACAGCCUUCUGAAAGGAAGAUUAAUACAAGAUGGCAUCAUGAGUCCGCAUGUUCAUAUGAUUAAAGGUAUUCCGGGUAGACGAUGGGG